rnacentral:rRNA from 1 species
AUUGAACGCUGGCGGCAGGCCUAACACAUGCAAGUCGAACGGUAGCACAGAGAGCUUGCUCUCGGGUGACGAGUGGCGGACGGGUGAGUAACGUCUGGGAAACUGCCCGAUGGAGGGGGAUAACUACUGGAAACGGUAGCUAAUACCGCAUAACGUCGCAAGACCAAAGUGGGGGACCUUCGGGCCUCACACCAUCGGAUGUGCCCAGAUGGGAUUAGGUAGUAGGUGGGGUAUGGCUCACCUAGGCGACGAUCCCUAGCUGGGCUGAGAGGAUGACCAGCCACACUGGAACUGAGACACGGUCCAGACUCCUACGGGAGGCAGCAGUGGGGAAUAUUGCACAAUGGGCGCAAGCCUGAUGCAGCCAUGCCGCGUGUAUGAAGAAGGCCUUCGGGUUGUAAAGUACUUUCAGCGGGGAGGAAGGCGGUGGAGUUAAUAGCUUCACCGAUUGACGUUACCCGCAGAAGAAGCACCGGCUAACUCCGUGCCAGCAGCCGCGGUAA